rnacentral:tRNA from 1 species
AGCCCUGUGGUGUAGUGGCCAAACAUAUCAGGCUCUGGACCUGGUGACCUCGGUUCGAAUCCGGGCAGGGCUA